AGAACUUAGCAGAGAUGCUUUGGUGCCUUCGGGAACUCUGAGACAGGUGCUGCAUGGCUGUCGUCAGCUCGUGUUGUGAAAUGUUGGGUUAAGUCCCGCAACGAGCGCAACCCUUAUCCUUUGUUGCCAGCGGUCCGGCCGGGAAACUCAAAGGAGACUGCCAGUGAUAAACUGGAGGAAGGUGGGGAUGACGUCAAGUCAUCAUGGCCCUUACGAGUAGGGCUACACACGUGCUACAAUGGCGCAUACAAAGAGAAGCGACCUCGCGAGAGCAAGCGGACCUCAUAAAGUGCGUCGUAGUCCGGAUUGGAGUCUGCAACUCGACUCCAUGAAGUCGGAAUCGCUAGUAAUCGUGGAUCAGAAUGCCACGGUGAAUACGUUCCCGGGCCUUGUACACACCGCCCGUCACACCAUGGGAGUGGGUUGCAAAAGAAGUAGGUAGCUUAACCUUCGGGAGGGCGCUUACCACUUUGUGAUUCAUGACUGGGGUGAAGUCGUAACAAGGUAAGCGUAGUGCU
rnacentral:rRNA from 1 species